rnacentral:rRNA from 1 species
CCUACGGGUGGCAGCAGUGAGGAAUAUUGGUCAAUGGACGAGAGUCUGAACCAGCCAAGUAGCGUGAAGGAUGACUGCCUAUGGGUUGUAAACUUCUUUUAUUUGGGAAUAAAACUGGGUAUGCAUACCGUCUUUUAUUUACCAUAUGAAUAAUGAUCGGCUAACUCCGUGCCAGCAGCCGCGGUAAUACGGAGGCUCCGAGCGUUAUCCGGGUUUAUUGGGUGUAAAGGGAGCGUAGAUGGGUUGUUAAGUCAGUUGUGAAAGUUUGCGGCUCAACCGUAAAAUUGCAAUUGAUACUGGCAGUCUUGAGUACAGUUGAGGUAGGCGGAAUUCGUGGUGUAGCGGUGAAAUGCUUAGAUAUCACGAAGAACUCCGAUUGCGAAGGCAGCUUACUAAACUGCCACUGACACUGAUGCUCGAAAGUGUGGGUAUCAAACAGGAUUAGAUACCCUAGUAGUC